UUGAACGCUGGCGGUAUGCUUUACACAUGCAAGUCGAACGGGCUAUGGGGCUUGCUCCAUAGUUAGUGGCGAACGGGUGAGUAAUAUAUCGGAACAUAUCCGGAAGUGGGGGAUAACGUAGCGAAAGUUACGCUAAUACCGCAUAUGCCCUGAGGGGGAAAGGGGGGGAUCGCAAGACCUCUCGCUUUCGGAGUGGCCGAUAUCGGAUUAGCUAGUAGGUGAGGUAAAGGCUCACCUAGGCGACGAUCCGUAGCUGGUCUGAGAGGACGACCAGCCACACUGGAACUGAGACACGGUCCAGACUCCUACGGGAGGCAGCAGUGGGGAAUUUUGGACAAUGGGCGCAAGCCUGAUCCAGCCAUGCCGCGUGAGUGAAGAAGGCCUUCGGGUUGUAAAGCUCUUUCAGACGGAAAGAAAUCGGGCGCGUGAAUAGCGUGCCUGGAUGACGGUACUGUCAGAAGAAGCACCGGCUAACUACGU
rnacentral:rRNA from 1 species